AUUAUGGGUGGAAGGGUUAAUGUUAAAAAUGAUUUAUGGGAGAAGGAGGGGAUGGGGGUCCCCCAUUUUGUUGAUGAGGUAAUGGCCAACCAAAAUUAUUACAGGUAGGGCUUCUGAGAGGAGUAGCCGGAAGAUGGGUACUGAGACACGGACCCAGGCCCUAUGGGGGGCAGCAGGGAAAAAAAUUUUGUAAGGUGCAAAAGAACGAGAAGGUUAAUCCGAGUGUUUUCUGCUAAAGGAACUUUUUGUCGGUCCAAAAAACACGGAUGAAUAAGGGGGGGGCAAGUUUUGUUGUCAGCCGCCGCGGAAAAACCACCACCUCAGGUGGUCAGGAUGAUUAUUGGGGCUAAAGCAUCCGCAGCCGGUUUUGUUGUUUUUCGGUUAAAUCUGUACGCUCAACGUACAGGGUGCGGGGAAUACUGAAAAGCUAGGGAGUGGAAGAGGUAAACGAUCCUCACUAGGAAGG
rnacentral:rRNA from 1 species